rnacentral:lncRNA from 1 species
CCCCAGGCAGUGGUGACUUCACUUCCCUGACGACAGAGCCCAACAGAAUUAGAACCCACGUAUCCAGGCACCCCAUUAUAGAGAAAACCCCCCUGCCCAGCUCAUUUCUAGGCACAUACUAAAGGAUGUGAUAUGUUCUUCUGCUGUACUGAAGCCGAGAGGAUGCAGGGGGAAGUGAGCUCGCCAGCCAAACACGUACCCUCACUGGCAGCUCAUAUCAGGAACAACAGCUGCACCCAGGCCUCCCAGGGGCUGAUGGGAGGCUGUAUGGGGGUCACUGGAUGGGCACUGCAUUGGUGGAAUGUGAGCCUUGAGCAGCUUGGGGACCGGCGUCUCAGGGAGCUAUGGUGGAGCAGGAAGUUCGGUAAGGCGCCCCGAGGCAGUGGUAAGCUCACUUCCCUGACGAGAGAUUCCAAUGGAAUUGGAACCCACGAAUCCAGGCACCCCAUUACAGAGAAAACUCCCCUGCCCAUCUCAUUUCUAGGACAUCUUAAAGGAGGCGACAUGUUCUUCUGCUGUACAGAAGCCGAGAGGAUGCAGGGAGAAGAGAGCUCGCCCGCCAGACACGUCCACUCCCUGGCAGGUCAUAUCAGGUCCCCCAACGCCUCGGGCCCUUUGGCUAAUAAAAUCAAAAGGUGACACCAGGGGACUCAGA